GCGGGGAGCGUGCGGCGGCGCCUGGGCCCGGCCCGUCCGGCCGUGAGGGGAAGGGAGGGGCCGCGGGGGGGGCGGGAGAGCGCCAGCGGGGUCCCGGCCCUGCCCGCCGCCACUGAGCAACGGGGGGGCCGCGGCCGGUGCGGGACGAGGCGGCUGGUGCUGUGCCCGCGGCGGCGGAGCCGUCUUGCCGUCCCGGGAGGGCAGCGGGGCUGCGCUGGCCACGGUGCGCUGCCCGUAGUGCCUGGGCCCCGCACACGGCGCCUUCGUGGCCGCGGUUCUUAGACGAACCUUCCUCCGGGUGAUCUGCACCGUGCGGCGCUGGCGGCCGUUACCGUUACACGGCCGGUAUCGACCCGUGGGCUGCCCUCGGAAACUGCGAUCGCCGACUUUGCUGUUUCCCGUUCGUCUCUGUUAGUGAAGCUCGGCUGUAGAAACACAAGUUUUAAAUUGGAGAGCAGAUGUUUACAAACUAGGUUUUCAUUGUGGUGGUUUUUUCCCCCAUGCAUCGAGAGUCAAAUCCAUAGAUAAAAGAGCUGAGAAGAGUUACUGCUUAUGGAGAUUUGACAUGGGUACUUUGUGACAAGAAAGUAUGGAAAAAAUAUUCCUGGCAGUUGUAAAUUCAGACUGGGGUUAAAAGUGUUGAUAUUGUCUGUCUUAAAAUGGCUAAGCCAUUGUGUAGCUGCACAGACAGUGAAGGGAAUACCUGAUUUUGGCGUACAGGAGUUAGAACUCUGGUGUUUUUCAGCUAAAUCUUCAUAGACUUACUCAGUUCUUGAAUAGCAAAAUUACUUCCUUUGCCAGUGUUUGUUCUAGCAUAUGUGCUGUUGUAGGGUCUGGUGUGUGUAUCCUACAUGUUGUAGGGCCUUACAUUGCAUGUAUCAAAACUGGAAAAAUGUUUCUUAGAGCGUGUGAUUUGUCAGUCGGUUAUUUCAAGUGGCAGUGGAAUACAGGCGAUACGUGUGCCUUCUAGUGUUCCACUCCUGUGUUUAGCUUAAUAAAAUGGCAGCAAAGUAUUGGAUUAAGGAAGUGUUUGCUGUUCUCAAUUUAGUAGUCUGUAUAGCUCUUUGAAUUUGUAUGUUUCUUAAAGAGACUUUGGCAAAACUAUCUGUAAGUAUGUAGUUGGAUUCUUUUUGUCUAGCUAAAUGUUUUCUUGGUACACUCUGUUGGCCUCUAGGAUUAUUAUGUUCUAGUCUGUCUGUCUUCAGAAAUUAGGCAUGUUUUCCAUCCUCACUUAUUUUAUUGUAAGGGAUUAAUUUGGUUAACUUCUUUGCUGUAUUAAUACAGUGUUAGUGGCUGAAUUCCAGUGUUUUAAGUUUAGUCAUUCUUGCUAGUCUGGCUUUCCAUCUGUGUGUGUGACUUCUUGAGCUUCCUUAUUCCUGUCCCUUUAUCCUGAUGACUCUCCAAGGAGGACAAUCCAUCAACGUCACUGAACCAGGGCUAUUUUCAAUGCUUAUAAUGUUACAUCUUCAAAAACACCUUUGAGCUGGAACAGCUUAAGGGUUGGACUGUCUCAGAUGCAUUACUUCCAACUUUUUUUUUCUGGAAUAGUGGUGGCAUGGCAGAACAGCUGAUCCAAGCUGAGGCAGGAGGCGGGAUGUGUCAGAUAACCAUUUUGGUGCUGUGAAGCUUUAGUUGAGCUAUUGAUAGUGGUCCUUAAAACACUGCCAGCUGAAGAUAGCUGGGUACCCACCACACCCUGCUUUUCUUGUGGGUGGAAUAAGAGCUGGCUAAACCAGCUUCUUACUCUUUGAAGAUUCCUCUGUUCACAAUUUCGAAUUUAAGGUAGAGGAAGGGUACAGUGUAGGUAUUUGUCUUUAAUCUGUUACAGGUUUGAUUCAAUACAGCGUAUUGUGUUCUUGCACAUGAAUUUGAAUAUGCAUUCCUUGGUUUGUCUGUAGGCCUAUGAAGCCUCUUUUGAGAAGUGGUUAUGAAAAAAUGUCUAAUAGAAUCUUAAAAUUUACCCUCUUGUGGGUGUUUGUUUUCCUUGUAGACUUCUGUGGAAAUGUCAUUGUGGGACAUGCUUUCAUUUUAUAUUCAGGGAAAAUCUAAGGUAACGGAUUACAGGUUAAAUAAGAAAUUUAUGUGUUAUUUUACUGUAAUGUCAUUUUUAAAUUCCUCCUUUUCAAUCCUUACAAUUUUUGUAGGCAUAGCAGACACUUCACUGCACAUGUCCUAAAUUGUAGGCAAGUGAUUACCUCUCCAGAACUUCAGUGUAUUGUCAGCUACCUGGAGAAUGGCUUGCUCCUGAAGGAAUACCUUGAGAUCCAGUAUAUACUAGGAAGUUAACUUGCAGCCCUUGUCCAUGGCGUUCUCUUCUGGACCUUUUGAGUUAGCUUUGAACUUUGGAGCAAAAAGUUAAAGAAGGAGGGGAAGGCAGUAUGAAAUACCUUCUAUAGUAACUUAAACCGCUUUUAGUCUGUGGUAGAAAAUACUGGCUGUGGAAUGAUUGCCAAUACCCACUGCUCUGCUUUUGGAAGAAGUCAGUUCCUACAUGCACAUGGAGAGCAUCUUUUUGAGUAAAAAAACCCCUACGAACAGCAACGUUCUGUGAGUACUACAUAAUUUUGGUGGCGAUAGCAUCCAUUUUUGCAUAAAGUUUUGUGAAGUGUAUUGCCCCAAAUCAGUGGAAAGCUUCACGUGUAGUAACCUGUUGAAGCUUAAAGUUACAGAAGGCCAAGGGGUUUUGGUAGUUUGAAAUUCAAAGUAAGCAUAUUUCUUUACUGCUAGAGAUCUUUCCAGCGCAAAAUUCUGUAAAAAUGUCUUCAAAAUACCAAUAAAUCUUAACACCCUUU